AUGCGAAAGCAGAUGAAGACAAGUUCAGAAAGAGUUUGGAAACAAAUUUGAGUAAGCUUGUUGUUCGUAAGAAAGAAAACAUUUCGGUGUUUGACUUUUUAUGAUAAUGGCCUCGUCGGACGG
rnacentral:misc_RNA from 1 species